GGCCAAUCAGAAGAAGCUCCACUGAACUAAAAGAAUAGCAGCUGAUUAAUAAUAAGUACUCCAUGUGAACAUUUGAGUCCAUUUGUGUAGAAUAACAAAGCUGUGUGUAUGAGAGCGAUGUAAUGUCCAUGUUUCCAUGCUGAAAGAGGAAGUGCUGCUCUGACCCCCCUCCUCCUUUCAGGUUGGAGCCUGCUGGAGUCCGAUGGUUGACACCAGGUCUGAGGAAGUAUUCCUGUGAACUCACACUCGACACAAACACAGUAAACAGAGACCUCAAACUGUCUGACAACAACAGGAAGGUGACAUAUGUGAAUGAGGUUCAGUCAUAUCCU